rnacentral:rRNA from 1 species
UACGUAGGGUGCAAGCGUUGUCCGGAAUUAUUGGGCGUAAAGAGCUCGUAGGCGGCUUGUCACGUCGACUGUGAAAACCCGGGGCUCAACCCCGGGCCUGCAUUCGAUACGGGCAGACUAGAGUUCGGUAGGGGAGUCUGGAAUUCCUGGUGUAGCGGUGAAAUGCGCAGAUAUCAGGAGGAACACCGGUGGCGAAGGCGGGUCUCUGGGCCGAUACUGACGCUGAGGAGCGAAAAGCGUGGGGAGCGAACAGG